rfam:Felis catus isolate Cinnamon breed Abyssinian chromosome D2, whole genome shotgun sequence.
GGAUGUGAGGGUGAUCUAGUCACUCCAUUGAUUGCCAGUGCUGACUCAGCUGGUCUGGCUGGCUAGGCGGGUGUCCCCUUCCUCCCUCACCACUCCACGUGCAUCCCUCCCAAAGCUGCAUGCCCAGCUGAAAAGCAUGACCUUCCCAGAUCGAGAAGGACCAUUCUUCAGUCAAGAGUAUAGGAGUAACUUCACUCCCCUGCUAGAUCCUCAGGGUCCCUUUGUAGAGUUGUAGUUGAGCUUCCAAGACUCCAGACACAUUCAAAUGAGGCGCUGCAUGUGGCAGUCUGCCUGGAGAG